GGCCGCGGGAAUUCGAUUCAGGCCUAACACAUGCAAGUCGAGCGGUAGAGAGAAGCUUGCUUCUCUUGAGAGCGGCGGACGGGUGAGUAAUGCCUAGGAAUCUGCCUGGUAGUGGGGGAUAACGUUCGGAAACGGACGCUAAUACCGCAUACGUCCUACGGGAGAAAGCAGGGGACCUUCGGGCCUUGCGCUAUCAGAUGAGCCUAGGUCGGAUUAGCUAGUUGGUGAGGUAAUGGCUCACCAAGGCUACGAUCCGUAACUGGUCUGAGAGGAUGAUCAGUCACACUGGAACUGAGACACGGUCCAGACUCCUACGGGAGGCAGCAGUGGGGAAUAUUGGACAAUGGGCGAAAGCCUGAUCCAGCCAAGCCGCGUGUGUGAAGAAGGUCUUCGGAUGUAA
rnacentral:rRNA from 1 species